AUUGAACGCUGGCGGCAUGCCUUACACAUGCAAGUCGAACGGCAGCACGGGAGCAAUCCUGGUGGCGAGUGGCGAACGGGUGAGUAAUAUAUCGGAACGUGCCCAGUCGUGGGGGAUAACGCAGCGAAAGCUGUGCUAAUACCGCAUACGAUCUACGGAUGAAAGCGGGGGAUCGCAAGACCUCGCGCGAUUGGAGCGGCCGAUAUCAGAUUAGCUAGUUGGUGGGGUAAAAGCCCACCAAGGCGACGAUCUGUAGCUGGUCUGAGAGGACGACCAGCCACACUGGAACUGAGACACGGUCCAGACUCCUACGGGAGGCAGCAGUGGGGAAUUUUGGACAAUGGGCACAAGCCUGAUCCAGCAAUGCCGCGUGAGUGAAGAAGGCCUUCGGGUUGUAAAGCUCUUUUGUCAGGGAAGAAACGGUGAGUCCUAAUACGGCUUGCUAAUGACGGUACCUGAAGAAUAAGCACCGGCUAACUACGUGCCAGCCGCCGCAGUAA
rnacentral:rRNA from 1 species